GCCCCUAUAGCUCAACUGGCAGAGCAGCGGACUCUUAAUCCGAAGGUUCCAGGUUCGAUUCCUGGUGGGGGCA
rnacentral:tRNA from 1 species